GGGUAGCUCAUAUGUCAUGAGCAAAAUAUGUGAUGCUAUAAAAAGUGGAGUGGAGUUUCACUCAGACAGAAUCAGGAUCCCUCCCCAGCGCUCAAAGGCUUUUUAAGUGCCUUGAAACCGAGUGCAUGUGAUUAUUAGAGCAGAUGUCUGAGAAAAGGGAGGGUUAGGGCUGGCUCCCUGAUUCUUGUUCGGUUGUCGUACAAUUAAUUAAAGUAAUUGGGGCAAUCUGGCGCCUCAGCCAGGAAGUAUUUGGAAGGGGAUACUCCCGUCUACGAGAAUUCGGCCAUUUCAACCAUAGUAUUUCUUUUUUAAAAACCCACACUAGGGAAAAUGAGUUCAAUAUGAGGGGGAUGUGUUGAUUCCAGAAGCACACCUGGAUGGAAGCAGAACUUACUUCAGUGGGUCAAAUCCUCCAGGAACUAAGGUUGCCAACUUUUCCUUACUGGCAGGGUUCUUGUGCCUGUUAAACAUCUGGCUGACAGGCAGAUGUCCAGCAGUUGCACCUUUGCCAGCCUGGAAAAGACAAGAGGUGGGAAGAGCUUCAUCUCUACCCAUCCUGCAGCUGUUAAAAGCACAGGUGCCCUGGUGGUUGGGAGAGGUAGCAACAUACCUUCUUCAAAGGUAUUAAUGCACUGCUGGUGUCUUGCAUUAUUUUUUAUGCUGAGAGCAAAAGUAGUUAGAUUCUUUCCCCAAGUGCAAGUAUUACUGAGAGAGAAACAUCCACUGGUUUUAUUUUUAUAUAGACUGUGUGUAUACACAAAUUUGCACACAAAACAGAUAUAUAGACGCAAAUAAUUAAGAUAGAUUAAUGUAGAAUUAUUUUAGGUUUAGAAUGGAAGAUUAAAUUAAAAGUGCACCCCUUGAGGCAAGUUCCCCUUGCUCAUUUGUUAGCAAAUAUGUUUGGGGUUAUAGCUUUAUGGUGCAAAGCCCCUUAGACUUUUAUUUUUUAUUUUUAGUAAAGCUGUUGAGUACUAUAGAUUUCUUUCUGGGGAGCACAGGCAAAACACCACCCAAAUUCCCCCUCCCAGCUAUUUCAUUUUCAAUAAGGAAGCAUUGCCAUCCCUUCUGCAAUUAUUUAUGUGUCUCUCAUUCAUGUAUCUGUAGUUCUCUGCAUGUGGUCAAACAAGUCCAUUCUGGGUUGUUGACUCACCAAACAGAAACGUAAUCUUCUGAGACUGAACACACAAUGAAUGUUGGCAUCUAAACAGCUAUGUAAAUAUAGAUGAAGCCAGUUCUAGGGUGUGUGUGUAUUUUUGUUCUGAUACAGGAAUUUAAAGGAGGAAUAAUUCCAGGUGAUUUACAGUAUAUGUGAUCCAGUUAUGUAACUUCUACAAACAUUCCUCUGAUUUAUUUUAAAAUAUAAACUGAUUAUGCCGUUACUAGUACUGGAAUUUAUUGCUUGGUAAAUCUGCAUGUAGCAUCCUUGCAUUAAUUACAGAUUUAAAAGAGUGUAUUUAUUGAAAAAUCACAGCUGUCCCUAUUAAAAAUGCUAAUUACGGAUAGCAUUUUAAACAAAUUUGUGUACAUCCUUCAAUCCCCAAAUGAUUUGGCUUGUGAGUGAACAGUAGCGAAAAAUAGUCAUUAAAUAUCCCUCCACUGACAUAUGCAUAUUUGUUUAUAGAGGCACUGUGAUCUUUUAAUUGGUUAAAAUGCAUUAAUUGGCAUUUUUUAAAAGACCUGACUUUGUAGAGAGUUCUAACUAGAAGGGGGAAGUGAGAAGAUCUAGAGAAAUAUUUAUCCUCUGAUUUCAGUUUAUUUAUUUUGGAGGCUAUAUUGUCUAAGGCUGUGGUCUUAAUCAAACUCAGAAGUAAGUGCCAGGAAACUCAUUAGGACUAAAGCCCCAUCUACACUAUAGGUUUAAAGUAGUAUCAUACUUUAAACAGUACAUACUUUAAACAGUAAUGGCUUGCCACAGAGAAUCAUGGGAAAUGUAGUUGGGUAAGGGUACAAUCUGCAGAGUGGUUUAACAAGCAAUCACUGUGGAAACUAUAGCUCUGUGAGGGCAAGAAAGAUGCCUUAUUAACUCUCCAUAUCCAGUUCCCAGGAUUCUUUGGGGGAAGCCAUGACUGUUUAAAGUGUCAUGAUACUGCUUCAAAUGUAUAGCGCAGGUGGAGCCUUGCAUCUCAGUAAAUGUGCAUAGGAUGAGGCUAUACAUUUCUCCUCUUUGUGUCCACCAGCAAGAAGGCUUUUCUUAUAUCAGGGAUGAGCAGCUGAGGCACUUUCCCCCAGGCUCCUGGUAAGCCUACAAAAUUAUAAAUCGGGAUUUCCCAAACUUGGGUCUCCAGUAGGGCUGCCACACGUCCAGAUUUUUCCUCAUUUUUGUUUUUACUUUUUGAAAUUUGGCAACCCUAGACUCUCCAGCUGUUUAUGGACUACAACUCUCAUCAUCCCUAGCUAGCAGGACCUGUUCUAAAUCAAGUUAUGGUAAGAUGCUCGGUUUGCUUUUAAGGAAAAUGGGGGGAUGCUUUAUUUAGAAUACGUGUACCCCAUUCUUCAGCCAAAAGGUGUGCAAAGUGGCUUACAUACUCAGGAGUCUUGGCAAGAUGGCACGAGUUUCACAUAGAGCUAGUCUGUGGGGGUUGGUUUGCAAGGCAAAAUAGACCUCUAGCCUUACUCUGCCUUUCAAAGUGUUUAGGAAACUGAGUGGCUCUUGAAUAGAAAAGCUACAGAAUCGUCAAUGAGAAAGGUAAGGUGCAUAAAAAUGCCCCUCAAACACAACAAACAAACAAAGAUUCUACUAUAAGAGGAUUAUAUUUUAUUAUUUAUUGUAUUUAACAAAUCUGCAUGCUGCUUUUCAAUAAGAGUUCUUCUGAAAGCAGUUUGCAAUCCACAUGUCAAACAUACAUUUGAUUCCAUGGCUGAAUUUCCCAACUUUGGUUUCGGAGUUUAGAUGAACAACAACCAUAAUUUCUGGAUUUUAAAUUACCAACCUCCUAUUACAAGUUGUCAGUCACUGCUGAGUUCUUUCCCGCUCUUGUUCUCAUUCCCUCUCUGCCUUUCUCUCCUUCCCUUCUUCCUUCCCCCCUUCCUUUUUUAAAAAUCCCUUCUUCCAUUUGAUGCCCUUCAGUCAUUUCUGUCCUUGCUUUGUUUUUUUAAAUAAAUAAAUAAAUAUUUAACUAAAAUUGCUUUAUUCCCAAAGUUAUCCAAAGACAGUUACAUAUCAAAGGAGAAACUGAGUGUAUCAUUCCGUUUGGUGCAGAUUAUAAGCAUGCAAAUGUGUUAGAUUAGAAACAGCUUUUCCAAAAUAGAAGUUGGAAAAUGGCAACUGAAGAAUUUGGCCUUAUUUGGGUCCAGAAAUUUGAUCUUGAAAAUAUGUUCUGUUGUUUGUUUUAAAUAUAUGCAGUGAUGAUUGAGUUCGCAAUAGAGGAUGUGGUAGAGUGUGAAAAAAACUGAGAGAGGGUGGCUGGGGUGGGAUCCUCAUAUUGUUUUAAUUAUGUAGCUUCCAAUCAUUUUCACAAAGCCGAUUCUCAGCUCUGCACCUAGUCCUUUUCCUGUGCUUUAAAAAUUAUUACUUACAUUUAAUACAGGUUUCAAAUGACAUUUGUUAUCACCCGACCCCUAUUAGCAAAUCAGAAUUCUGGAAACAAACAAAACAAGCCUUUCCUGAUCAAGGUGGUGACUCUGUUCAUGUUGCUUUUGUUAAUACAUAAUUUUGGGAAAAAAAUAAACUGUGAGCACUGGUGAAGUUACAGAUAAGCAUGUUCAAGGCCAGGUGGUUAGGAGGAAACCUUUCCGUAAAUUUGCAGGUGGAAAAACAGAAUGAGCUCAGGGAGAGACAUAUCAGCAAAAUGUCCAACAUGCAUCAAGCAUUCCGCCCAUUCACCCCCAGUUUUGCAAUCCUCCAAAUUAAAAUAUGCACAUACAGCAAAAGGAGGUGGUAGAAAUCCUGAAUUGUACCACAUUGUUCUAUAGGUAGGGGAAUGUUCUUUUUAAUUUUCUCGCAUGUAGAAAAACUUUCUGCCAGUAAAUAAUGAUGAUAAUAAAUAUUAAUAAUAAUAAAAGCAAUAGUGGUACAUUAGGAGGAAAGGUUACCAUAGUCUUCCCUGCAUUGUGAUAGUUUUCUAUUUGUAGGCAUAUAUUUUUUAAUAUGGUGGAGAAAUAAAAAACUGUUUCCCUGCACACCUAAAUUCUGAAAUGGAACAGCCUAUCCCACUCACAUUUCAUUCCACUGCAUGCAUCGAUUAGGAGGAACACAGUGCACAUACAAAAUUAUCAGUUGUAAAUACAUUUAAUAUUAAAUUGCUUCAGAUUAAAUUGCUCCCCCCUCGCCACGUAUUCAAAGAAAAAGGAGAAUUCCAGGCAUAAGUAAAAAAAAUGUAUUGCAGUACAACAGAGAUUCAGCCAAUGCUCUUAACUCUGUUAUUUAUGUGUUUAUGAUGUUAUAUGUUGUUUUGUUUGUGUCACAAAAGCAAAUAAAAUUUAUUUAAAAGAAAGGACAGUUCUUGUGAUUAGCAUCUUAUCACUCCCAAUGAACACUAGUGUGAGAACCUAGAAUUGGACCAGGAAACUAUCCUAGGAAUUCCUUUGUCCACCUGACUCUACUGAGAAUGGGCUUAUUCAGUUCACAUUUAAAAGUAAAUUUACCUAAUCUGCGCUUUCAGAAAAAUACAUGAGCUGAAACACAGUCACCAUUUGAAAUUUGCUAGAAUUCUGAAAUGUAGUUCUCCAGCCAAGUAGCAAAUGUAUAUAUUAGGGUGAAGUGUGCAUAGAAAUGAAUAUAUAGGUGAAAGAAACAUAGCAAAUUGCAUCAUAUAUGGGGAAAUUGCUUGACAAAAAUGUGUAUACUAGGCAAAGUUGCACAAUAAAUGUUUCUUUCAAGAGGACUUCAUACUAAAAUGCAGAUGAAUGUUAAUGAGGACAUGGAGGGGGGAAAUUGUGCUCUAGUGCAGAAAUGUGAAGAACUGAAUGUAAGACUUCAAAAAUUACAAACAGGAAUAUUUCCGUACUUGCCAUUGAUAGUGGUAUAGUUGAUGGGGGUUUUUCAGAUUUUUCAGCAUGCUGCCACAUGAUGCGAUUAUUUUUCAGUUAGACUGUACAUCAUUAUUCAGAAUGAUGUAUAGUCGACUCGCAACUUGCAUGCAUUUAUGGCCGGUUGAAAUGACACAAUUUAAAUGCACGCAAGGUGCGGAGGUCAGAGGUCUUUCUGCAUCAGGUUUUCUGGCCAGAGCCCUUGCAAGAGCUUUCCAGAACCUGGUAAGAAAGGUGCAGAGCUUGAAAGCUCUCUGCCUUGCUUGGGGAGUAAAGCCUGUUUGGCCCAGAAAUUAAGAUGGUUCACAUGGGGGUGGUUCACAUAGGGGCUACGUGUAUUUGUGUAUAUGCGCCACCCCCUGCACAAGAUAUGGGUCAACUCUACCAAAGAAUUUUUUCCCUUCUACUGCCAAAGAAAAACUGACUUUCGUGAUAUAUCCCGAAUGGAUCCUCAAUAUUUCCAUUUUUGUGGCAUGUCUGCAAACAUCAUCCUGGUUUCUGUGUGGAAGGGGCGAGAGGUUCAUGGUUGGGGCUUGAGACCCAUCUCCUUUGCACCACUUCCUCUGAUUGUGCCCCCCGAGCUGUCAGUCUGCGAGUUCAGUUCAGAGGAGAGAUGUGCCAGAUGGGGACCAUGGUACUCAAAGUACUGCUCGUGAAAGCAAUCUCCCCCCCCCCCAAUAAGAUAUUUAUUAAGAUUUCAAAAAUAGAAAAGUUACAAUGGU